GGGAAAAGGCUGCAUCUACCCUGGGGAUUGCUAUAUCACUAUACUCCCCAGGGAUUAUAAUCACUAAGCUCUUUUAAGAGCUUGUUCCUGCUACUCUCUCUUGGAGGAGAGGUUCAGCCACUGGAACCUGGAGCCUUGUCAUAGGUCCAGGGUGGGUAGAGGACGGCGAGUUCCCAGUCAAGCUGUAAUGCUGGAUGUGGGGACUGCGGUGCUGAUGGUGUCUGGUGGAGUGCUUGGAGUCCUCGGUGAGCACUAGGAGCAUCCGUUGGCGGAGGUACCAAACCGGGGUACAGGAAGCUCC